CGCAUCUGUGCAUGCAGCAUAUCAAUAAGCGGAGGAAAAGGAAACUAACAAGGAUUCCCCUAGUAACGGCGAGUGAAGCGGGAAGAGCUCAAAUUUGAAAUCUUAAAGGGUUUCCCUUUACGAAUUGUAGUUUAAAGAAGUGUUUUCUGUUGAGGUUUUGGUAAAAGUUCUUUGGAAUAGGACAUCAUAGAGGGUGAGAAUCCCGUAUUUGACCUUUACUUUCAACUUUGUGAUACACUUUCAAAGAGUCGGAUUGUUUGGGAAUGCAGUCCAAAAUGGGUGGUAAAUUUCAUCUAAAGCUAAAUAUUGGCGAGAGACCGAUAGCGAACAAGUACCGUGAGGGAAAGAUGAAAAGAACUUUGAAAAGAGAGUUAAACAGUACGUGAAAUUGUCAAAAGGGAAGCGUUUGACACCAGUGUUGUUUUUCUGAAAAUCAAUUAAAGAACUGUUUAUGCUAAGUUGUUUAGACUUUAUCAGCUAACUGUUUAGUUUUGAGCUUUUCUUUAAUGCACUUUUCAGUUAACAAGUCAACAUCAAUUUCUCUUGCUGUAAAAAAGCUUGAGGAAGGUGGCUUGAGAUUCGUCUUAAGUGUUUAUAGCCUCUUGCCUAUGCAGUCGGAGAGAUUGAGGUCUGCAGCGUAGAUCCUUCGGGGCUAAAUGCAUUUGUGCUAAGUUAUAGCAUUUUAUAGACAACUUGUUGACUAUGAUUUGUCUUGUAGCUUACUCGCUUAUGUUAUUUUACCUACGCUUAGGAUGUUGAACGCGCACAGAGUCUC
rnacentral:rRNA from 1 species